rnacentral:rRNA from 1 species
ACUCCUACGGGAGGCAGCAGUGGGAAUAUUGCACAAUGGGCGCAAGCCUGAUGCAGCCAUGCCGCGUGUGUGAAGAAGGGCCUUCGGGUUGAUGAAAUGCACUUUCAGUCGUGAGGAAGGUGGUGUAGUUAAUAGCUGCAUUAUUUGACGUUAGCGACAGAAGAAGCACCGGCUAACUCCGUGCCAGCAGCCGCGGUAAUACGGAGGGUGCGAGCGUUAAUCGGAAUUACUGGGCGUAAAGCGCAUGCAGGUGGCUUUGUUAAGUCAGAUGUGAAAGCCCGGGGCUCAACCUCGGAAUUGCAUUUGAAACUGGCAGACUAGAGUACUGUAGAGGGGGUGAGAAUUGAUCAGGUGUAGCGGUGAAAUGCGUAGAGAUCUGAAGGAAUACC